GAAGAGGACGGUCCCAAGUGAAGAGUGGGAGGCAAGUCCCUUGUGACCGGGAGGAGGUCGACCUUAAAGGAGCUGGCAUUGUAGCUCUUCUAAAGCCUAGUCUACUUAGGAAGGCAAAAGCGAAGCAGCAAGAAGUGGCCACAGAAGCCGUGUGGUCCCUAGAAGUAGAAGGGUAAGGAGGGUGCAGGAGAUGGUCCUACUUGUGGCCGCAACGGGGCUCAGAAGUCCGCUUGUUAGAGAUGGCAGUGACCUGUGACAAUCCAGUCUGCCCGACACGCCUCCCGCCUCCUUAGAAACGGGAAGGAGCCCCGGCCCAGUGCACUGACGUAGUUAGCCUAAGAUCACGUAGCUGGUUGGUCACAGAAUCAUGACUUUAAUUCAUGUCUUCUGACUCUGACCUGGCACGCUUUGUACCUCACCAAAGACAGUGAUGAAACUGCAAAAGGGCAGAGUGGAGAAGACUGGAAUGUUCAGCCAAGGCAUUUGAACUUUUAAUGCUGCAAGUCAAGACUUCCCGAAGAUUUUUGAGCAGAUGAGUGAAGUGAUAAGAAAAUGCAUCUUCAGCAGUGACAGCAUCAACGAUGAGGAGACUGGCCGGGAGGCUAUUACCCGCAUCAAAACCAGUGAACAUUAAAAAAAAUUUUUUUUUUUAGAGAGAGGGUCUUGCUCUUUUGCCCAGGCUGGAGUGCAGUGGCUUGACCAUAGUUGACUAUAACCUUGAAUUCCUGCGUUCAAGCGAUCUUCCUUCCUCAGCUUCCGGAGUAGCUGGGACUACAGAUGCGUGCCACCAUGCCAGGCCAAUUUUUAAUUUUGUUUUGUAAAGAUGGGGUUUCUGUGUUGCCCAGGUUGGUCUCAAAUCCUGGCCUCAAGCCAUCCUCCCGCCUCAGCCUCCCAAAGUGCUGCAAUUUACGGGCAUUAGCCACCGCACCUGGUCCAAAACCGGUGAAGAUUUGUUAAGAUGUUGGCAAUAUGGGUAGGACAAAGAGGAAUGACAAAAGGCAUGUAACCACCUGAAUUUGCCCCUAUCAAAGAGCUCUCCAGGAAGCACCACCAAGGAAUUUUCACUGACAUUUCCCAGGCCAGACCAUGCUGCUGCUAAGCAAAAUGAGGAUUCUGCUAGUGAGGAUGAAAGGAAGAAUGUGUAAUCAGUUUUCUUGAAGUAUAAUACAUGUACAAUAAACUGAACCUAUUGGAAAUAUACAUUUGGAUGAGUUUUGACAGAUGUAUAUACCACAGUCAAGAUACAGAACAUUCCCAUCACUCCAAGAGAUUCUUUGUGUCCCUUUGUGGUCAAUCCCUCCUACCCGAGGCCCCUAGGUAACCGCUGAUCUGUUUUCCAUCACAAUAGAUUAGUCUGCAUAUUCUAGCAUCUUUAAUAAAUGCAGUCAUACAGUAUGUA